rnacentral:tRNA from 1 species
AGGAUAUUAGUUAAAAAAAUAACAUUUAUUUUGCAAAUAAAAAUUAAUUAAUUUCAUAUUAUAUAAUAAUUAUAUCUUA